UACGUAGGGUGCAAGCGUUGUCCGGAAUUAUUGGGCGUAAAGAGCUCGUAGGCGGUUUGUCGCGUCUGCUGUGAAAACCCGAGGCUCAACCUCGGGCCUGCAGUGGGUACGGGCAGACUAGAGUGGCGGUAGGGGAGAUUGGAAUUCCUGGUGUAGCGGUGGAAUGCGCAGAUAUCAGGAGGAACACCAAUGGCGAAGGCAGAUCUCUGGGCCGUAACUGACGCUGGAGGAGCGAAAGCAUGGGGAGCGAACAGG
rnacentral:rRNA from 1 species